rnacentral:rRNA from 1 species
UACGUAGGGUCCGAGCGUUGUCCGGAAUUAUUGGGCGUAAAGGGCUCGUAGGCGGUUUGUCGCGUCGGGAGUGAAAACCAGAGGCUUAACUUCUGGCUUGCUUUCGAUACGGGCAGACUUGAGGCAUGCAGGGGAGAACGGAAUUCCUGGUGUAGCGGUGAAAUGACGCAGAUAUCAGGAGGAACACCGGUGGCGAAGGCGGUUCUCUGGGCAUGUUCUGACGCUGAGGAGCGAAAGUGUGGGGAGCGAACAGG